UACAGAGGGUGCUAGCGUUGUCCGGAAUUACUGGGUGUAAAGCGCGUGUAGGCGGGAGGCCAAGUCUGUGGUGAAAUCGCCUGGCUUAACUGGGCGGGGUCCAUGGAAACUGGUCACCUGGAGGUCGGUAGAGGCAAGUGGAAUUCCCGGUGUAGUGGUGAAAUGCGUAGAGAUCGGGAGGAACACCAGUGGCGAAGGCGGCUUGCUGGGCCGGACCUGACGCUGAGACGCGAAAGCCAGGGUAGCGAACCGG
rnacentral:rRNA from 1 species